CGUAUAUUAAAGUUGUUGCAGUUAAAAAGCUCGUAGUUGAAUUUCGGGGUCAGUAGGUUGGUCGUGCCUCUGGUAUGCACUGGCUUUACUGAUUCCUCCUUCUUGAAGAACUGUAAUGUCAUUAAUUUGGUGUUGCAGGGAAACAGGACUGUUACUUUGAAAAAAUUAGAGUGUUUAAAGCAGGCA
rnacentral:rRNA from 1 species